rnacentral:rRNA from 1 species
AUUGAACGCUGGCGGCAGGCCUAACACAUGCAAGUCGAACGGCAGCACAGAAGAGCUUGCUCUUUGGGUGGCGAGUGGCGGACGGGUGAGUAAUGUCUGGGAAACUGCCCGAUGGAGGGGGAUAACUACUGGAAACGGUAGCUAAUACCGCAUAACGUCGCAAGACCAAAGUGGGGGACCUUCGGGCCUCACACCAUCGGAUGUGCCCAGAUGGGAUUGGCUGGUAGGUGGGGUAAUGGCUCACCUAGGCGACGGUCCCUAGCUGGUCUGGGAGGAUGACCGGCCACACUGGAACGGAGGCACAGUCCAGACUCCUACGGGGGGCAGCAGUGGGGAAUAUUGGGCAAUGGGCGCAAGCCUGAUGCAGCCAUGCCGCGUGUAUGAAGAAGGCCUUCGGGUUGUCAAGUACUUUCAGCGGGGAGGAAGGCGGUGAAGUUAAUAGCUUCACCGAUUGACGUUACCCGCAGAAGCAGCACCGGCUAACUCCGUGCCAGCAGCCGCCGUAA